UACGUAGGGUGCGAGCGUUGUCCGGAGUUACUGGGCGUAAAGCGCGCGUAGGCGGUUUGUUAAGUUGGAUGUGAAAUCCCCGGGCUCAACCUGGGAACUGCAUUCAAAACUGACAAGCUAGAGUAUGGUAGAGGGUGGUGGAAUUUCCUGUGUAGCGGUGAAAUGCGUAGAUAUAGGAAGGAACACCAGUGGCGAAGGCGACCACCUGGACUGAUACUGACACUGAGGUGCGAAAGCGUGGGGAGCAAACAGG
rnacentral:rRNA from 1 species